CUACGGAGGGGGCUAGCGUUGUUCGGAAUUACUGGGCGUAAAGCGUACGUAGGCGGACUGAUCAGUUGGGGGUGAAAUCCCAGGGCUUAACCCUGGAACUGCCUUCAAUACUGUCAGUCUUGAGAUUGGAAGAGGUGAGUGGAAUUCCUAGUGUAGAGGUGAAAUUCAUAGAUAUUAGGAGGAACACCAGUGGCGAAGGCGGCUCACUGGUCCAAUACUGACGCUGAGGUACGAAAGCGUGGGGAGCAGACAGGAUUAGAUACCCUAGUAGUCC
rnacentral:rRNA from 1 species